AACGAACGCUGGCGGCAUGCCUAAACAACAAUAGCAAGUCGAACGAAGCCUUCGGGCUUAGUGGCGCACGGGUGCGUAACGCGUGGGAAUCUGCCCUUAGGUACGGAAUAACUCAGGGAAACUUGUGCUAAUACCGUAUGAUGUCGAGAGACCAAAGAUUUAUCGCCUAGGGAUGAGCCCGCGUAGGAUUAGCUAGUUGGUGGGGUAAAGGCCUACCAAGGCGACGAUCCUUAGCUGGUCUGAGAGGAUGAUCAGCCACACUGGGACUGAGACAUGGCCCAGACUCCUACGGGAGGCAGCAGUGGGGAAUAUUGGACAAUGGGCGAAAGCCUGAUCCAGCAAUGCCGCGUGAGUGAAGAAGGCC
rnacentral:rRNA from 1 species